rnacentral:rRNA from 1 species
CCCUGCCAUUUGUACACACCGCCCGUCGCUUCAACCGAUUGGAUGACCCGGCAAAGUGGACGGACAGGGUACCAGUCCGCAAGCGGAUUGGCACCGUUGGAAGUCCCCUGAGCCUUAUCAUCUAGAGG